ACCGAGACCCUCAGGACGGGGUCCCCGCUCCCUGACUCUCCCCGGGGACCGAGACCUCAGGACUGGUCCCCGCUCCCUGGACUCUCCCGGGGGACCGAGACCCUCAGGACGGGGUCCCCACUCCCUGGACUCUCCCCGGGGGACCGAGACCUCAGGACUGGGUCCCCGCUCCCUGGACUCUCCCCGGGGGACCAUGACCCUCAGGACGGGGUCCCCGCUCCCUGGACUCUCCCCGGGGGACCGAGACCCUCAGGACGGGGUCCCCGCUCCCUGCACGAUCCCCAGGGGACCGAGACCCUCCGGACGGGGUCCCCGCUCCCUGGACUCUCCCCGGGGGACCGAGACCCUCAGGACGGGGUCCCCACUCCCUGGACUCUCCCCAGGGGACCGAGACCUCAGGACGGGGUCCCCGCUCCCUGGACUCUCCCCGGGGACCGAGACCUCAGACGGGGUCCCCGCUCCCUGGACUCUCCCCGGGGGACCGAGACCCUCAGGACGGGGUCCCCGCUCCCUGCACGAUCCCCAGGGGACCGAGACCUCAGACGGGGUCCCCGCUCCCUGGACUCCCCCGGGGGACCAUGACCCUCAGGACGGGGUCCCCGCUCCCUGGACUCUCCCCGGGGGACCGAGACCCUCAGGACGGGGUCCCCGCUCCCUGGACUCUCCCCGGGGACCGAGACCUCAGACGGGGUCCCCGCUCCCUGGACUCCCCCGGGGCAUCAUGACCCUCAGGACGGGGUCCCCGCUCCCUGGACUCUCCCCGGGGACCGAGACCUCAGACGGGGUCCCCGCUCCCUGGACUCCCCCGGGGCAUCAUGACCCUCAGGACGGGGUCCCCGCUCCCUGGACUCCCCGGGGGACCCAGACCCUCAGGACAGGGUCCCCGCUCCCUGGACUCCCCCGGGGGACCGAGACCUCAGGACGGGGUCCCCGCUCCCUGGACUCUCCCCGGGGGACCCAGACCCUCAGGACGGGGUCCCCGCUCCCUGCACGAUCCCCGGGGGACCGAGACCCUCAGGACGGGGUCCCCGCUCCCUGGGCUCUGCCCGGGGACCGAGACACUCAGGACGGGGUCCCCGCUCCCUGGACUCCCCCGGGGGACCAUGACCCUCAGGACGGGGUCCCCGCUCCCUGGACUCUCCCCGGGGAACCCAGACCCUCAGGACGGGGUCCCCGCUCCCUGCACGAUCCCCGGGGGACCGAGACCUCGGACGGGGUCCCCGCUCCCUGGACUCCCCCGGGGGACCUUGACCUUCAGGACGGACUCCCCGCUCCCUGGACUCUCCCCGGGGGACCGAGACCCUCAGGACCGGGUGCCCGUCCCUGGACUCUCCCCGGGGGACCGAGACCCUCAGGACCGGGUCCCCGCUCCCUGGACUCUCCCCGGGGGACCGAGACCCUCAGGACGGGGUCCCCGCUUCCCUGGACUCUCCCCGGGGACCGAGACUCUCAUGACGGGGUCCCCUCUCCCUGGACUC
rnacentral:lncRNA from 12 species